rnacentral:rRNA from 1 species
AUUGAACGCUAGCGGCAUGCUUUACACAUGCAAGUCGAACGGUAACAGGGUGCUUGCACCGCUGACGAGUGGCGAACGGGUGAGUAAUACAUCGGAAUGUACCCAGUAAUGGGGGAUAACGCUUCGAAAGGAGUGCUAAUACCGCAUACGCCCUGAGGGGGAAAGUGGGGGACCGCAAGGCCUCACGUUAUUGAGCAGCCGAUGGCUGAUUAGCUAGUUGGUGAGGUAAAGGCUCACCAAGGCGACGAUCAGUAGCGGGUCUUAGAGGACGAUCCGCCACACUGGAACUGAGACACGGUCCAGACUCGUACGGGAGGCAGCAGUGGGGAAUCUUGGACAAUGGGCGAAAGCCUGAUCCAGCAAUGCCGCGUGCGUGAAGAAGGCCUUCGGGUUGUAAAGCGCUUUUGUCUGGGAGCAAAUCCUGGCCUCUAAUACAGGUCGGGGAUGAGAGUACCAGAAGAAUAAGGACCGGCUAACUACGUGCCAGCCGCCGCCGUAAGAC